rnacentral:rRNA from 1 species
GACGGAGGAUGCAAGUGUUAUCCGGAAUCACUGGGCGUAAAGCGUCUGUAGGUGGUUUAAAAAGUCUACUGUUAAAAAUUGAAGCUUAACUUCAAAGGUGCCGUAGAAACUUUUAAACUCGAGGAUGGUAGGGGUAGAGGGAAUUUCCAGUGGAGCGGUGAAAUGCGUAGAUCUUGGAAAGACCACCAAUGGCGAAGGCACUCUACUGGGCCAUGACUGACACUAAGAGACGAAAGCUAGGGGAGCAAAUGGG